UACGGAGGGGGCAAGCAUUAAUCGGAUUUAUUGGGCGUAAAGGGCGCGUAGGCGGGAAGGUAAGUCAGAUGUGAAAUCCCAAGGCUCAACCUUGGAACUGCAUUUGAUACUGCCUUUCUUGAGGGUAGAAGGAGAAAGUUGAAUUCCACAAGUAGCGGUGAAAUGCGUAGAUAUGUGGAAGAACACCAGUGGCGAAGGCGACUUUCUAUUUUACUCCUGACGCUGAGGCGCGAAAGCUAGGGGAGCAAACAGG
rnacentral:rRNA from 1 species